rnacentral:rRNA from 1 species
UACGGAGGGAGCUAGCGUUGUUCGGAAUUACUGGGCGUAAAGCGCGCGUAGGCGGCUUUGUAAGUUAGAGGUGAAAGCCCGGGGCUCAACCCCGGAACUGCCUUUAAGACUGCAUCGCUUGAAUCCAGGAGAGGUGAGUGGAAUUCCGAGUGUAGAGGUGAAAAUUCGUAGAUAUUCGGAAGAACACCAGUGGCGAAGGCGACUUACUGGACAUGUAUUGACGCUGAGGUGCGAAAGCGUGGGGAGCAAACAGG